rnacentral:rRNA from 1 species
GACGGAGGAUGCAAGUGUUAUCCGGAAUCACUGGGCGUAAAGCGUCUGUAGGCUGUUCAAUAAGUCAACUGUUAAAUCUUGAGGCUCAACUUCAAAAUCGCAGUCGAAACUAUUAAACUAGAGUAUAGUAGGGGUAAAGGGAAUUUCCAGUGGAGCGGUGAAAUGCGUAGAGAUUGGAAAGAACACCAAUGGCGAAAGCACUUUACUGGGCUAUUACUGACACUGAGAGACGAAAGCUAGGGGAGCAAAUGGG